UAAUACGUAGGGUGCAAGCGUUAAUCGGAAUUACUGGGCGUAAAGCGUGCGCAGGCGGUUAUGUAAGUCAGAUGUGAAAUCCCCGGGGCUCAACCUGGGAACUGCAUUUGAGACUGCAUGGCUAGAGUGUGUCAGAGGGGGGUAGAAUUCCACGUGUAGCAGUGAAAUGCGUAGAUAUGUGGAGGAAUACCGAUGGCGAAGGCAGCCCCCUGGGAUAACACUGACGCUCAUGCACGAAAGCGUGGGGAGCAAACAGGAUUAGAUACCCUGGUAGUCCACGCCCUAAACGAUGUCUACUAGUUGUUGGGUCUUAAUUGACUUAGUAACGCAGCUAACGCGUGAAGUAGACCGCCUGGGGAGUACGGUCGCAAGAUUAAAACUCAAAGGAAUUGACGGGGACCCGCACAAGCGGUGGAUGAUGCGGAUUAAUUCGAUGCAACGCGAAAAACCUUACCUACCCUUGACAUGUAGCAAGAUCGA
rnacentral:rRNA from 1 species